GUGCCAGCAGCCGCGGUAAGACAGAGGGUGCAAACGUUGUUCGGAAUUACUGGGCGUAAAGCGCGUGUAGGCGGCCAUCUAAGUCGGGCGUGAAAUCCCACGGCUCAACCGUGGAAGUGCACUCGAAACUGGAUGGCUAGAGUCCUGGAGAGGAAGGUGGAAUGCUUGGUGUAGAGGUGAAAUUCGUAGAUAUCAAGCGGAACACCGGUGGCGAAGGCGGCCUUCUGGACAGUGACUGACGCUGAGACGCGAAAGCGUGGGGAGCAAACAGGAUUAGAAACCCGUGUAGUCC
rnacentral:rRNA from 1 species